ACACCAGCACGCUGUGUGUCCCGAUCUCAGUCAGGAUCCUUGUCCUCCACACCCAAAAGCACUAUGUUAGGGCCAGCCCAACUCUGUCCCCUGCAAGCUGUGUCCUCAGGUAGGUUUCCCCACCCCGCCCUGCUAUGAGCCCCCAUUUCCUUGUCUGUGAGUGAGGUAAUAACAUCCAUGUUUCAUUCUGAUGCCAGAAUGAGCACACACACCUAUUCUCACUUCCUCCCCCGAAAACGUGGGGGGUGGGUUAAGGCAGAAAGCUACAGGGACUGGGAGAACAGGAGGGGAAGCGAAGGCAGCCACAGUUUGGAAGCUGGAAAGCAAAUGAACAAACGGUAAAAGACUUAGCAGGAAAAAAAGAAAGGACUUUUCUUAAGCCAGCCCUGGGGUAGCCAAAGCUGUCUGAUUUACAAGGCAGACUUCCUAAAGGUCAUGAGUGAGUGGCCCCAGCCACCUCCAGAAGUGAGGCAAGGGAGGCACGGAGUCAGAAGAGUAUUUGGAAGUCUGUCCAGGACGGAGGCUGGUCUCCUGCAGCUCCCGUGGCUGGGGGACUGGCCCCGGCAGGGCCUGGCCCAGGUCUGGAGGCUCACUCUCUGGAGAGGGUAAAGUAGAGGGUCUCUGGGCGGAGGGCACGGGCACACCAUGGAAGCAGGGGUGAAGGCAGGGAGGCUCAGUGCAUGCUGAGACUCCGCCCUCACCCCCUCUCCCCCAACGCCAGCAGCCAGGCCGUCCCCCUCCGAGCAGAAGGCUAGACGAGGGCUCCGGAAAACUGACUGGAGGUCAAAGAUGGUGACCGUAUAGCACGCGGAUCAAAAAACAAGACUUGAAUAACAAACGCAGAUGAAGAUGCCAGGCAGUCCUUGGCACAGCCCGUGCCCCCUUGUCUGCUCAGUGAUGUGCUCAGCAGGUAUUUUUGGUACCGGACACAUGGUCAGGAAGUACCUAAACACCGUGUGACCAGAUCACAGCAAAUCAACUGACUUUUCUCAGCCUCCAAGCAAUGACUAUUUUAACUUUAGUGAUACUGAUGGUGUUUCCCUUUUUGCUUUGGCCAUUAGGAAGCUCAGAGCUAAAUUGUGAUCAGCACCUGGCACUGCAUAAAUGACAAACAUCUGUAAUGCGUCGCCCCAGUCCCUGCCUUGUCUUAUUUUUCUUUUACUCCUGUUUCCUUAUCAGUUUUUAUCGUAUCUUGUCUCAAUGUUUGCCUUUGGUAAGCUGUCUCCUAUUUUUUUUUUUUUUUUGGAACCAGGCAGGCUAUAAACUAGUAAGAACCUGA